rnacentral:snRNA from 1 species
AUACCUUUCUCGGCCUUUUGGCUAAGAUCAAGUGUAGUAUCUGUUCUUAUCAGUUUAAUAUCUGAUAUAGCUUGCUAUUGGGGCCUUUGAGUGUCGCCUUGACGUUGCACUACUGCCUUGGCUUGGCGCACCCCUC